rnacentral:rRNA from 1 species
GGCGAACGCUGGCGGCAGGCUUAACACAUGCAAGUCGAGCGGGCACUUUCGGGUGUCAGCGGCGGACGGGUGAGUAACGCGUGGGAACGUGCCCUCUGGUUCGGAAUAACUCAGGGAAACUUGAGCUAAUACCGGAUACGCCCUUUUGGGGAAAGGCUUGCUGCCGGAGGAUCGGCCCGCGUCUGAUUAGCUAGUUGGUGAGGUAACGGCUCACCAAGGCGACGAUCAGUAGCUGGUCUGAGGGGAUGAUCAGCCACACUGGGACUGAGACACGGCCCAGACUCCUACGGGAGGCAGCAGUGGGGAAUAUUGGACAAUGGGCGCAAGCCUGAUCCAGCCAUGCCGCGUGAGUGAUCAAGGCCUUAGGGUUGUAAAGCUCUUUUAUCCGGGACGAUAAUGACGGUACCGGAGGAAUAAGCCCCGGCUAACUUCGUG